GACGAACCGAGCGAACGUUAUUCGGAAUCACUGGGCUUAAAGGGCGCGUAGGCGGGCCAUCAAGUCAGGGGUGAAAGCCCCCAGCUCAACUGGGGAAGUGCCUUUGAUACUGGUGGUCUCGAGGGGGAUAGGGGCGUGCGGAACUUCCGGUGGAGCGGUGAAAUGCGUAGAUAUCGGAAGGAACACCGGUGGCGAAAGCGGCGCGCUGGAUCCCUUCUGACGCUGAGGCGCGAAAGCCAGGGGAGCCGGAACGGG
rnacentral:rRNA from 1 species